rnacentral:rRNA from 1 species
GACGAACGCUGGCGGCGUGCCUAAUACAUGCAAGUCGAACGCAGUGGGGACGGGUGAGUAACACGUGGGUAACCUCCCCCUCAGAGGGGAUAACACUUGGAAACAGGUGCUAAACCUAUAUUGAUGGAUGGACCCGCGGUUCAUUAGCUAGUUGGGGAGGUAACGGCUCACCAAGGCCCCGAGGAAUAGGCGACCUGAGAGGGGGAUCGGCCACACUGGGACUGAGACACGGCCCAGACUCCUACGGGAGGCAGCAGUGGGGAAUAUUGGACAAUGGGCGAAAGCCUGAUACAGCCAUGCCGCGUGUGUGAAGAAGGUCUUCGGAUUGUAAAGCACUUUAAGUUGGGAGGCGUUACCAACAGAAUAAGCACCGGCUAACUUCGUGCCAGCAGCCGCGGUAAUUC